AAGCUGGAUCGUGAGGACUGGUGGACUGCAUACAAGUGAGAAUGCCGGUAUGAGUAACGAAAAGAUCAGUGAGAAUCUGAUCCGCCGUAAGCCUAAGGGUUCCUGAGGAAGGUUCGUCCGCUCAGGGUAAGUCGGGACCUAAGGCGAGGCCGAAAGGCGUAGUCGAAGGACAACAGGUUGAAAUUCCUGUACCACCGUGAACCGUUAUGAGCGAUGGGGUGACGCAGAAGGAUAGUGACGCUGGGCUAUGGAUUGCUCAGUCCAAGCAGUGAGGCUGGUGUGCAGGCAAAUCCGCACACCGUAAGGCUGGGCUGUGAUGGGGAGGGAAAUUUUAGUACCGAAGGUCAUGAGUUCAGGCUG
rnacentral:rRNA from 1 species